UACGUAGGGGGCUAGCGUUGUCCGGAAUCAUUGGGCGUAAAGCGCGUGUAGGCGGUCCGGUAAGUCCGCUGUGAAAGUCGGGGGCUCAACCCUCGGAUGCCGGUGGAUACUGUCGGGCUUGAGUACGGAAGAGGCGAGUGGAAUUCCUGGUGUAGCGGUGAAAUGCGCAGAUAUCAGGAGGAACACCGGUGGCGAAGGCGGUUCUCUGGGCCUGUACUGACGUGAGGAGCGAAAGCGUGGGGAGCAAACAGGA
rnacentral:rRNA from 1 species